GACGAACGCUGGCGGCGUGCUUAACACAUGCAAGUCGAGCGAUGAAGCUCCUUCGGGAGUGGAUUAGCGGCGGACGGGUGAGUAACACGUGGGCAACCUGCCUUAUAGAGAGGAAUAGCCAUCCGAAAGGAUGAUUAAUACCUCAUAAUAUUGUAGCUUCGCAUGGAGCAACAAUCAAAGGAGCAAUCCACUAUAAGAUGGGCCCGCGGCGCAUUAGCUAGUUGGUGAGGUAACGGCUCACCAAGGCGACGAUGCGUAGCCGACCUGAGCGGGUGAUCGGCCACAUUGGGACUGAGACACGGCCCAGACUCCUACGGGAGGCAGCAGUGGGGAAUAUUGCACAAUGGGGGAAACCCUGAUGCAGCAACGCCGCGUGAGUGAUGACGGCCUUCGGGUUGUAGAGCUCUGUCUUCAGGGACGAUAAUGACGGUACCUGAGGAGGAAGCCACGGCUAACUACGUGCCAGCCGCCGCCGUAA
rnacentral:rRNA from 1 species